CCGAGAUUCCCCCAGUAGCGGCGAGCGAACGGGGAGCAGCCCGGAGUCUGAAUCAGCUUGUGUGUUAGUGGAACGGUCUGGAAAGUCCGACGGUACAGGGUGAUAGUCCCGUACACGAAAAUGCACAUGCUGUGAACUCGAAGAGUAGGGCGGGACACGUGGUAUCCUGUCUGAAUAUGGGGGGACCAUCCUCCAAGGCUAAAUACUCCUGACUGACCGAUAGUGAACCAGUACCGUGAGGGAAAGGCGA
rnacentral:rRNA from 1 species